AGGAUUUUAAGUUAAACAAACUAUUAACCUUCAAAGUUAAAAUUACUUAAAGUAAAUCUUA
rnacentral:tRNA from 2 species